AUUGAACUGAGCGUACAGCAAACAACAUGUGAGCAGGCGAGGUUUCAAGCCGGGGCACGCCAGUGCAGACGAGAUCAUGUUGCAGCUCCUCUCUCCCCUGCGAUGGAGGGAUGGGAUGUGUGGGGUGAGCGGCGUCAGCGCUGGAAUGGGAGAGGCAGCGUUCAGAUGAGCUGCAACUCGAGCUGAGCAGCUGGGAGUGGUUUCUGUUGGUCUCUCUUAUCACUUCGGCAAAUAACUCGAAGAAGUAUUGUCUCUCCCUUUUCUAUUUUUGGAUAGAGAGAUGAGAACGCUUUGUUCCCUUCAAGUAGUGUUUGAGUCAAGAGAGCAGAGAGCUCGCCAGCACACGUGUGCUUCCGUCUUGCGCAAAGCCAGCAUCCCAUCCUUUGAGGUCGUUAACUGUGUUAUACCCAGCCCACACCUGGUGCCAGCAAUCAAGGAGCCUGAUCUAUAGAAUGCACAGAUUCUCUAGAUUUCUUGAUAUGGAAAAUAAGAGAGUAAAGAUAUCCUCAUGUUUUAUGAUCAAGCUUUCUUAGUUGGUGCAGAAAAGCAAGAAGUAACACCAGAGAUGUGGUACUUCUGCCCAGUAGUGGGCAUUCGUGAGAGGAGGAGUGGGGGUGUCCCACAGGAGCACAGCACUGAACUCUGACGGAGCACAGGAGUUCAGCAAACCUCUCCCCUUCGCAUGUCCCACCUGUGAAAUGGGUACAGCUCAUUUGCUGCUGUGAUGACCCACUUUAUCAAACCAGUUCACAUUUUUCCCCUUGAAAGCUGAUAAGUCAUUCCUAUAAGGCAUCCACAAAACAAACAAACAAAAAACCAAAACUGUAGGGUUAAGGUAGGACAAGGGGAAAUGGUUCCAAACUAGAACAGGGGAGAAUUAGAUUGGAUAUAAGGAAGAAGUUUUUAUGAUAAGAGUGGUGAAGCACUGGCACAGGUUGCCCAGAGAGGUGGUGGUGCCCCGUGACUGGAGACACUCCAGAUCAGGCUGGACGGGGCUCUGAGCACCUGAUGGAGCUGUAGGUGUCCCUGUUCGUGGCAGGGGAGUUGGAUGAGAUGGCCUUUAAAGGUCCCUUCCAACUCAAACAAUUCUGUGAUUUUAUGAUUGAUUCUAAGAUCUACUCAGAUAUUUCCUGAAUGUGCAAAAAACUGACCUGGAGAGGGCUCACGGGAGCCCAUGUGUGCCUGAUCUGCCAUUCUCCUUUGUAUUUCAGAUGCAGCUUUUGGGGCCUGACUUCUCUGUGGUGUCACCUUCAUAGGGUUGGCAGCACUUGGGUCUAUCACAAAACCCUGGCAUGCCAGAAAACUCUUCUAAGCCAGACAUCUCUCAUUUGGGGCCAGCUGAUGCCCUGACUCUGUAUUGCUUUAGAUACAGUGCAUGUUUUUCUAUGAAGAAACAGGAGCAAAAUCACAGCUGUAGAAAUGAAUGAUUACAUGAAGUACUGUCCCUGAGAUGUUCUCCCUGUGAUGUUGGGAUGUUCUGUGGUUGUGCUUGCUGCUCAGAUAAACCUCUGAUACAAUUCUGUCCAGUGAGACAAGGGAAACAGAUAUCUGUAGUCAGUCUCACAAUUGAAAAACACUGUUGAAAAGGUGCAACUAAGCAUGCAGGCAUGCCCGGUGCAAUUAUAUCAAUGAAAAUGCAGUCAUUAAUCUGUUAUUUCCCAUGAUUUUACUAAUCCUGUAAAGCCACCUCACAAUGCUUUCGCUGACAGGUGAGUUGCUCCAUUCAUCCACUCAGUAAGCAUUGUGCAGUCACCACUUACAUGAAAUCAUUAAGAUACCUUUGCAGUGAUUCCUCGGUGCGGGGUGUGAUGGCCAGGUGUCAGAAGUACACGUAAUUCCCAUUCCCUGCUGUAGUUCAAUCAUCAGAGCAUGACUAUAGUUGAAACUUAAGGAAAGCUGAAUUAAGUGCAUCCUUACAGAGUAUGGGGAGUGAAAAUGAGUAUAGUUAAAUGAGCAACCUUUCAGACAACCACUGGUAUGCAGUAAUUGCAAAUUAAUAAUGCAGUUCUUGUUUUAGUUCCUGUUUUAUUUUUCUGUCUCAAAUAUUGAUAUUGAAGCACAGCAGAAGCAGCAGUAGGAUAAACGCCCUCUAAAGGGGCUUCCCCCAUUUUGUGGAAGUUUUUCCUAGCAAUUUACAGUAGUAAUUCACUUACAUCUAUUACCUUAACAUUACCCCUUGCUCAUGGCUUUAAAUAACAUUAAUAGAGCAGCUGAAGCUGGUAUCAGCAGAACAGCCUCCCAGCAGAUCUGCUGAUCCCUGCUGGAGCUGCUCUGCUGUCGGAGCCAGCUGAGGGAUCUGGCAUUGAGUGGAUUGCUCUGAUCUUAAGCAUGCAAAUGACACUUGUCUCCUGCAACGUCAGACAGACUGGGAGCUCUGCACAGCGUAAUGAAGAGCCACGGUGGGGCCUUCUAAGCACUGCUUCCAGCCUCAAGCAAACCACAGAGCCAAGUGCACGACCUCCAACAAACUGGAUUUGGUUUUGCAUGAUGAACAUUCCCACAUUUUUUACCUUCACAUCGCAUUACAAAUUCCAUCUCUGGAUUAAAAGAUCUGGAAGGAACUGGAAAGUAAUGUAAAUGCUGCAGUGCCAGCCUGCUCUGAGCCCUCCGUCCUGCUGCCAGCAUGUGGGGCAUGCUGCAGCCUGCCAGCAUGGCCCUCCCCGCAGCAGAGACCCACGUGGGACAGAAGUUAGGACCUCAAAGUGAUGGAGCACUCCUCCUACAAAGACAGGCUGACAGAGCUGGGCUUGUUCAGCUUGGAGAAGUCUCUGGGGAAACCUCAUUGUGGCCUUCCAAUAACUAAGGGGAGCUUAUAAACAAGAAGGAAAAUAACUUUUUACGUGGUCAAAUAGUGAUAGGACAAAGGAGGAAUGGCUUUAAAAUAGAAGAGAGGAGAUUGAGGAUGUCAGGGGGAAGUUUUUCAUGGAGAGGGUGGUGAGGCAGUGGCACAGGCUGCUCAGAGAAGCUGUGGGUGCCCCAUCCCUGGAGGUUCUCAAGGCCAGGUUGGAAGGGGCCCUGGGCAGCCUGAUCUAGUAGCUGAUUUGAUUUAGUGGCUGGGAACCCUACCCAUGGCAGGGGAGCUGGAACUAGGUGUUCAUUGCAGUACCUUCCAACCCAAGCCAUUCCGUGAUCCUAUGAUCUCCUGCCCCACCAGCAGCUCAUCCCCCGCAUCCAUGCCAGACAUGUGCUCAGGAUCCCAUGUGGAUGGAUGAUCCUCUGCAGGUUUGGAACUCCAUGUGCUGAUGGGAGUCACCCCUGAGCCCCAGAGACAGAAGUACCCCCAAGAAGGGCUUCUCUGGAAGUGCUAUUCCUGCUGAAGGGCACUGCAGUGUUUCAGAAACCCACACAGCUUGGAGCUGAGCACCAGGAGGCUGAGCCUGGGUGGUCUGGAGAACACUCUGGUGAAGGCCUACUGGUGGGACGGGUCUGCAACAUCAGCACUUCUGAAAUGAGACCAAGGGCAGAACGGGGCUAUGCAAGCAGGUGCUGCGAGCUGACUUGGUCAGUUCAUGGCAUUUACAUUUAUGGGUACCUGGGGGAGAGGCAGGAAGAGUGUCAGCAUUGAUGCAGGGAGUGGAAAUCUGCUGUGUAACCGGAUGGGAUUAUCUGUCAUUCACUGCACAGCAGAAAAAAAACAGGACUUCAUCUUUUCUUCUCAUUCAGAAUAAAUGGAGCAGCCUACAGACUGGAGUUGGGGGAAUGUUUUGUUUUGUUUCAUGAACUUUUUGGCAGUUCCCUUAUUUGUUUUCUUCCGGCCUAAUUCUGGUGCUUUUUGCCAAGCAAAGGGUUUGACGUGGAUGCAGACAGUCCUAUCUAAACAAGUCUUCCCCUCCAUCCACCAAGCAGAGUCCUCAUCCCACCUGUGUGGACAGUAAUGAGAUGGAUAAAAAUUGUCUCCCAGGAAAAAAAACAAUAACACCACCAUGUCUAAUUUUGAAGCAGAUGGAGUUUAUAUCAGCUGCCUACAUACAGAAGAAAAAGGAAAUGUACCAAACAUAGCAGCAGGAUAGCUGAUGCAUCCAGCAAAUCGUGGGCCUCCAGCUGAAUAAGAUGACUCUGACAGCAAUUCAAAACCUUGGUGAUGUUCAGAUAUUGGCAGCAACCACACAAAUUAAUUUUGAGAAGGCCAUACAUCAGCGCAGACCCAGAAUGCACAGACUGAGUAUCCUCUUGCUGAUGUUUUGAAAGCCAGAAGAGAUUCUCAUCAACGAUUACAUUUACUUGAAUGUGUGCCUGAGUGUUAUUUUUACCAAGGGGAAAUUAUAUAUAAGGGGCAGCAUACAUUUCUCAGCUUUGUUUUAAAAUUUCAUUCUUCAACCAAGAUUCUCUUAUGUGCAGCAGGGCUCAGCUCUGGAACUGACUGUAUCUUAAACUGAAGCACGUCCUUUCUCAGUUGUUUUCCUCCUAGAAAAAAACAUGUAGCCGUAAGUCAGCUGGGAGUGUCCAUUUUAAGUGAUUGCCUCAUGAACGCCCAGGGUUAAGCACCUAAAGGCCAAAGCUUCAAACAGAAGAAUAUAUAUAGGUAAUUCAUCCCCAAAAUCCCAGCUCAGUAGAAAUCUGAGUUGUGUUUGUGAUCCUGAAAUGACUCUCGGAAGAGUCAAAGAAAAGAAGCUUUUUUAGAUAAUUAUUUUCUGGACCUUCGUAUAUCUGAUUUCUGUCAAAUUUAGCUUUCGCUUUAUUAUUUUUAGAUUGUGUUUACUUUGGAAUACUUCUAGCAUCCUAAGCUAUUCUUAUUUAUUUUAUGGUGAGUAUUUACAAAUCUGGUGUGGUUCCUUUAGCUUUUUUCAAUUGUGAAAAUGUUCAUACCAUCAGUGUUAAUAAAAGUGUGUCAUUUUUAGUGACAUUGAGAUACGUAU
ensembl:lncRNA